rnacentral:rRNA from 1 species
UACAGAGGUCUCAAGCGUUGUUCGGAUUCAUUGGGGCGUUAAAGGGUGCGAUAGGUGGCGGGGUUAGUCGAGGUGUGAAAUCUCGGAGCUCAACUCCGAACUGCACUUGAUACUGCCUUGCUUGAGUACUGGAGAGGAGAUUGGAAUUACGGUGUAGCAGUGAAAUGCGUAGAUAUCGUAAGGAAGACAGUGGCGAAGGCGAAUCUCUGGACAGUUACUGACACUGAGCACGAAGGCCAGGGAGCAAACGGG